rnacentral:rRNA from 1 species
AACCCUUGUCCUUAGUUGCCAGCGAGUAAUGUCGGGAACUCUAAGGAGACUGCCGGUGACAAACCGGAGGAAGGUGGGGAUGACGUCAAGUCAUCAUGGCCCUUACGGCCAGGGCUACACACGUACUACAAUGGUGGGGACAGAGGGUCGCGAAGCCGCGAGGUGGAGCCAAUCCCAGAAACCCCAUCCUAGUCCGGAUCGGAGUCUGCAACUCGACUCCGUGAAGUCGGAAUCGCUAGUAAUCGCAGAUCAGUCAUUGCUGCGGUGAAUACGUUCCCGGGCCUU